rnacentral:rRNA from 1 species
UACGGAGGAUGCAAGCGUUAUCCGGAAUGAUUGGGCGUAAAGCGUCCGCAGGUGGCAAUGUAAGUCUGCUGUCAAAGCGUCUGGCUCAACCAGAUAAAGGCAGUGGAAACUACAUAGCUAGAGUAAGGUAGGGGUAGAGGGAAUUCCUGGUGUAGCGGUGAAACGCGUAGAGAUCAGGAAGAACACCGGUGGCGAAAGCGCUCUGCUGGACCUUAACUGACACUGAGGGACGAAAGCUAGGGGAGCGAAUGGG